rnacentral:snRNA from 1 species
GCACUUACCUGGCAGGGGAGAUGCCAUGAUCACGAAGGUGGUUUUCCUGGGGCCAGGCUUAUCCAUUGCUCUCGGAUGUGCUCACCCCUUCAAUUUCCCCAAAUGUGGUGUAAUUUGUGAUAGUGAGGGGGAUGGGGGAAGAAAGAUGAAUUAAAAUUUCCUAC